rnacentral:lncRNA from 1 species
UUAAACUCGUCUCCGGCCCCUCCGAUCUGCAGCUCGAUCAGGGGCAGACACUGGUGAGGGAAGCCAGAGAGACGGGGCAGGCCUGCUGGCGGUCAGUGAUGCAUGAUGGAGGGAACCCGGACCUGCGUGCUGGAAGCAGCACUCUCUCCAAAGCACUCACUAAUGACUGAGGACAGCACCGAGUCUUCUAAUCACCUUUAAUGUGCACUUUAGAAGCUGACUUUAAAGCGGGCAAGAUAAGCAGAGACAAGAGAGAAAAGCAGCUUAGUCCCAGACCUCAAGGUAUCCCAGUAUGGCUGGG